CCUACGGGAGGCUGCAGUGAGGAAUAUUGGUCAAUGGCCGGAAGGCUGAACCAGCCAAGCCGCGUGAAGGACGAAGGUGCCAAGCAUUGUAAACUUCUUUUGUCAAGGGACAAAAUCAGGCUCGAGAGCCUGACCGAGGGUACUUGAAGAAAAAGCAUCGGCUAACUCCGUGCCAGCAGCCGCGGUAAUACGGAGGAUGCGAGCGUUAUCCGGAUUUAUUGGGUUUAAAGGGUGCGUAGGCGGGCUGUUAAGUCAGCGGUAAAAGCCCGGGGCUCAACCCCGGCGAGCCGUUGAAACUGGCUGUCUUGAGAUGUCGAGAGGUAUGCGGAAUGCGCAGUGUAGCGGUGAAAUGCGUAGAUAUAUGGAAGAACACCAGUGGCGAAGGCGAGAACUUAGGCUAUCACUGACGCUUAGGCUCGAAAGUGUGGGGAGCAAAUAGGAUUAGAUAUCCCGGUAGUC
rnacentral:rRNA from 1 species